rnacentral:rRNA from 1 species
GUAACACGUACCCCUUAAGCCCAGGGGACGUGGAUAACCUCGGGAAACUGACAUUAAACCGCGAUAGGUCAAGAUUUCUGGAAUGGAUCCUGGCUUAAAUCUACAUGGCCCCUGGAUUGGACUGCCGCCGAUCAGGCUGUUGGUGAGGUAAUGGCCCACCAAACCUAUAACCGGUACGGGCUCUGAGAGGAGAAGCCCGGAGAUGGGCACUGAGACAAGGGCCCAGGCCCUAUGGGGCGCAGCAGGCGCGAAAACUCUGCAAUGGGCGAAAGCCUGACAGGGUUACUCUGAGUGAUUUCCGCUAAGGAGAUCUUUUGGCAGCUCUAAAAAUGGUGCAGAAUAAGGGGUGGGCAAGUCUGGUGUCAGCCGCCGCGGUAAUACCAGCACCCCGAGUGGUCGGGACGAUUAUUGGGCCUAAAGCAUCCGUAGCCGGUUGUGCAAGUCCUCCGUUAAAUCCAGCCGCUCAACGGAUGGGCUGCGGAGGAUACUACAGAACUAGGAGGCGGGAGAGGCAAGCGGUACUUAGUGGGUAGGGGUAAAAUCCUUUGAUCCAUUGAAGA